rnacentral:lncRNA from 1 species
CAAUAUUCAGUACCAUCGUCCACUGGACCCCACGUUUGCGACUACGGUCAUUAUUCUGACACGCCCCACGGUCUCUCCUCUUCUCCCCUCUCUGUGUUUCAUUUCUACUAAAAAAAUAUCAAGUUUUUUCAAAAAGAAACAGUGAGCAGGGAAGAACAAACCAGCCCUCCUUUUUUUUUUUUCUUAAAAAAAAAUGGACGAUUACACGAGAGAAAUGAUGGACCUGAAAACUCUCGUCACUCGAACCCUAGAGAAGAAAGGCGUCCUUGCUAAGAUCCGGGUAUCAAACCUUCAAUUUCCUUUUUAUAACGACAAUAAACUGAAAGUAAAAUGGUUAUUUUGAUUGUAAAAUCUUAAUUCUGUUGUCUCAAGCUAAUUAAUUGAGAGCCAAGGUACUUUUUCCUGGUUGGAUCUCGUCUAGUGGUAAAAAAAAAUUGGAUUUUUUUUUAUUGGAUGAUUGUUUUUGCUCUGGAUCUUGUUUUCUUUGUUUGGAAUUGAAAUUAGGUCUUUUUUUCUCGUAGUGGAUGGGAGGAGAAACGGUAUUUUUAUAUUUUGUAGCUAGGGUUUUGUGUUUCAUGCAAGAUCAAAGCUUUUGUAGUCUAAUGUCAAGUUAAAGGUCUCAAAUUUUCAGUAAAUUAGAUGGCUUUUCCUUCUUCCUUCUUGUAAAUUUUUAUGCGUUUUAUCUGUUGUCUCAUGCUAAAUUUUUGUCCAGGAAGUAUUCAAUGAAGCAAUUCUUUUUCGUUUUUUAUCCUAAACUGUGUUAAUUGAGUCUAAUUAAAUUGAAAAUGUAGCCUCACAGUAAUCUCUACUGCGUUGGUCACUUGGUCUUGUUUCGCCAUUGUCGAUAUAGUUUGUAGUUUCCUUUUUAUAAAUUUCUGUAUCUUACUUGUCGACUCUGUUGGUAGGCUGAACUCAGGGCAAGUGUUUUUGAGGCAAUUGAAGAGGAGGAUAGGGUGAUUGAAAAAGAUGAAGGCUUACCUCCUGCAUUACUGGGUAGCUGCAAUGAUCGUGCUAAACAACUUCAUGCUUCUCCAUCAGGUCGCUCCUUGAAUUCACAGCCUUUUCCAUCUUUGUCUGGCGACUUUGAAAAUGUUAAGC